ACGGGAGGCAGCAGUGGGGAAUAUUGGACAAUGGGCGAAAGCCUGAUCCAGCCAUGCCGCGUGUGUGAAGAAGGUCUUCGGAUUGUAAAGCACUUUAAGUUGGGAGGAAGGGCAGUAACCUAAUACCUUGCUGUUUUGACGUUACCGACAGAAUAAGCACCGGCUAACUCUGUGCCAGCAGCCGCGGUAA
rnacentral:rRNA from 1 species